CUUGUUUCAAAUAUGUUUAAAUUAACCUCAUUAUUCUUUGCUCGUAUCGUCGUAUUCCACCCGAUCGAGUUCUCAUCCCAUCACACCAGAAACAGGGUACGCUGUCAUUUGACUUUACAGCGUUUAUUUUCAAUUCAUUACAGGGCUCCGGAGUGGCGCCUCCGUGCAAAAAGCGUCCCUACAGUCCCUGGUUCGAAUACAGGUUGUAUGACAUCCGGCCGUGAUUGGGAGUCCCAUAGGGCGGCACACAAUUGGCCCAGCGUCGUCCGGGGUUUUGCGGUCAUUGUAAAUAAGAAUUUGGUUAAAUACAAUUACUCAAAAUGACGGCGCCGAAGCAGACACGACUUUUCACAGUGAAAGAGGCUAAUGUUGGUUGAUUAUUCGGACACGCACUUUGAAAAGCCAUGAUGUCGAGAUUGUUCAGGACUUCUCUAUUUGAAACCCGGACUGCUCGGUGAACCUCACUGAACUGGAUUGGGGUCUUCAAGGACCAAAAACUUUGCUUUGCCAGCUGAGACGAGCAGGCCCAAGAUCUUCUCUUCAAAGUGCAGAUGCACAAGGUGACAUCGUUUUAAGACUUCUGCCAGUGGUCCUCCCACACCAGUCUACAAGAUUGGCAGGAAGACAUUCCGACCCAGCUUCUAAGAGACCAGAAAGACAUUGACUUGCAGCCUGUAAAUUUAAAUAGUCGAUAGGGAGAUGGAUGGGGAAAUUAGAUGAUAGCGUUUGUAAGCCUUGAAUGAACAGAACACCAUUCCAAUAUCUGUUAUGCAGAAUGGCACACUCCAAGACAUUGUUGUGUAACUUAACCUAUAGAUGCUGUAGGCAGGCCCCUGAGUAUGGUACAGCCCAUUACUCAUAUGUUAAAUUGCCUACUUAUAACAUGACAACGGCUGUAUUCAUUUUUUUUAUUUUAUCAUUCUAUAAACAUUUUGGAUGUCCUUGGUUGGUCACUUUUAACACA